UACAUGGGGUGCAAACGUUGCUCGGAAUUAUUGGUCGUAAAGCGCGCGUAGGCGGUUACUUAAGUCGGAUGUGAAAGCCCUCGGCUUAACUGAGGAAGUGCACCCGAAACUGAGUAGCUAGAGUACGAAAGAGGGUCGCGGAAUUCCCGGUGUAGAGGUGAAAUUCGUAGAUAUCGGGAGGAACACCGGUGGCGAAGGCGGCGACCUGGGUCGAGACUGACGCUGAGGCGCGAAAGCGUGGGGAGCAAACAGG
rnacentral:rRNA from 1 species